GAAUAGACGUCCUCAUAAUCAAACCCCCUCUAAUCAUAUUGCCACAUUCAAUAAGGAAUUCCAAAGAUCUUGCUCAUUAUUUUUCUCUUCUCAAAACGUCAGUCAAGUGCCGAUUCCAUCCCACCCCUGUUAAGUUGUGUUCCAGCGUCUUGAGUUUUCAUUUUCCUUUCAUGCUCCCCAGAUACUAAACUCGAUCUAGGUUGUUUUGUUUGUUGCAGGAGGCAAGGUUAAGCAGGUGAACGACCAGGUCUCGGUGGUCUGCAAGGGAGGUGAUGAUGGUGGUUGUUCUGCUUCUUCAAUUCAAAAUACACAAUAAAGACAAGAUUCUAUUCUUUUACUGCCGAUGCACUUCGAUGCGAACAAGAACGUGGUUCUGGAAAUAAAGAAAAGUGAUGAUUCUGAAGAGACAUUGCUUGAAAACAAAAGGCUUGUGGUGGAGGCAGUAGAAAAGCUGGUAAAACGGAAGAAGAGAUAUUGAUUCACAUGUUUCAACUAUUUAAAUUGAAUGUCAAAGGAUGAGCCAACCGCACUUGAUAUAAAAAAGGACCCUGAAAGCAUGUGAGAUGAUGAAGAUUGUAUAAAAGAUUCAUGGGAAGAUGAAGAUGAACCCUCUCUGUGGUAGCACCUCCUGUUGUGAAGGCCCUAAAGAAGUCAACAGUCAAACCGGCUCCAAGAAAAAGGGAUACCUGUUGUUGAAGUAGCAAAAGAGGUGCCAUUAAAUCCUUAAACAAGCUUUGUAUUUCAGGCUCGAGCUCGGGCUCAAUAACUAAAUGAAUAUGGAAGUAUAAAUGGCUUCAUAAAGUUUUGGAUUUAAUAUGUUGAUCGACUGUGCUCAGCGACUGUGGUUUCUUGACACAUACACUGGAGGAUACAGAGUUCAUCGCGAUAUAAAGGUAACUAAGCCAUUUAAUGUUGCUUUUUCUAAUAGUCUGUGGUGAUUUUACUGUUUAGAUUUCGGCAGCCUCACGCAACUCGAACUGGGUUCGUUGUUACGAUCAUUAGGCCUUACACCGAGCCCUGAUCAACUGGAUGCAUUGAUACAGAAAGCGGAUACUAAUAGUAAUGGUUUUGUGCAUUGAUAUUGUAUUAUCUUGCACUACACAUUUGGAUAAUUGAGUUUCUCAUAAUACCAUUUAAUAUUAUGUGCAACUAACAAUUACGUGAACAGGUACUCAGUAGAGUUUUCGACCAGUCGGAAACCGCAAAUGCUCUACUUGGUUGGCCAUAAUUUGGUUGUUUUGCGUCAGUUUGUUUUGUCCCUUCGUAACUUGGCAAGGGUUUGAUCCGUAUAGGGAUUGUCGGAUCCAACUGGUAUAACACUUGAUCCACUAAUUUAAUGCAUUGACCCAUAUAAGUUGGUUAAUUCUUGGAUCGUUCCACUAAAAAAGUUGUCUUCAUAAUUUCUUGCAAUAUUUCUACCCGCCAUAUUGUUUCUCUUGGCUUCUCUCUUUGUUGUAUGAGAUUUUGUGCUUACAUAUGAAAUACAAAUUAUGCAAGUGACUGUUGAGUGUUGGCAGACAGGUGCAGGCAACAAAGAUUAUGGGAGUCAUAAAGGCGAUUAUUUUCUCUGGAUCAAAACAAGGGCGGGAUAUGCAGAUCUGGAAUGGGAUAAAUGGAGAACUUUAAUUUCAGCAAUUUCCCGAUGUGGAACAGAAUAUUGGGUUUGUGCAGAAGAAAAGGGAUGAUGUGGCAUUUUUAGUUUUUCACCGAAAGACCAUGAGUCUGUUGAUCAAUUUUCACUUAAGAACUUUUUUUUUUUACAGUAAUUCUUAUGUAUUAGCUUUGUGUUUUAACCACUUCACACAACACAACAUUUGAUGACAUUUUUCAUGAUAGUUUAACCAUGGACUGGUCAAAACGCCCGAAAGCAUUAUCUUUUCAAACUAA